rnacentral:rRNA from 1 species
AUUGAACGCUGGCGGCAGGCCUAACACAUGCAAGUCGAGCGGAUGAAGGGAGCUUGCUCCUGGAUUCAGCGGCGGACGGGUGAGUAAUGCCUAGGAAUCUGCCUGGUAGUGGGGGAUAACGUCCGGAAACGGGCGCUAAUACCGCAUACGUCCUGAGGGAGAAAGUGGGGGAUCUUCGGACCUCACGCUAUCAGAUGAGCCUAGGUCGGAUGAGCUAGUUGGUGGGGUAAAGGCCUACCAAGGCGACGAUCCGUAACUGGUCUGAGAGGAUGAUCAGUCACACUGGAACUGAGACACGGUCCAGACUCCUACGGGAGGCAGCAGUGGGGAAUAUUGGACAAUGGGCGAAAGCCUGAUCCAGCCAUGCCGCGUGUGUGAAGAAGGUCUUCGGAUGGUAAAGCACUUUAAGUUGGGAGGAAGGGCAGUAAGUUAAUACCUUGCUGUUUUGACGUUACCAACAGAAUAAGCACCGGCUAACUUCGUG